rnacentral:rRNA from 1 species
GUUGACCUCGAAUCAGGUAGGGAUACCCGCUGAACUUAAGCAUAUCAAUAAGCGGAGGAAAAGAAACCAACCGGGAUUACCCUAGUAACGGCGAGUGAAGCGGUAACAGCUCAAAUUUGAAAUCUGGCUCCCUGCGGAGUCCGAGUUGUAAUUUGUAGAAGAUGCUUUGGGUGCUCGGCCCGGUCUAAGUUCCUUGGAACAGGACGUCGUAGAGGGUGAGAAUCCCGUAUGCGGCCGGGGUGGGUGCUCGUGUAAAGCUCUUUCGACGAGUCGAGUUGUUUGGGAAUGCAGCUCAAAAUGGGUGGUAAAUUUCAUCUAAAGCUAAAUAUGGGCCAGAGACCGAUAGCGCACAAGUAGAGUGAUCGAAAGAUGAAAAGCACUUUGGAAAGAGAGUUAAACAGUACGUGAAAUUGUUGAAAGGGAAGCGCUUGCAACCAGACUUGGGCGUCGCUGAUCAUCCAAAGUUUUCUUUGGUGCACUCGACGACGUACAGGCCAGCAUCGGUUGGGGUGGUGGGAGAAAGGUUGUAGGAACGUAGCUCUUUUCGGGGAGUGUUAUAGCCUGCGACGCAAUGCCGCCUACCCUGACCGAGGACCGCGCUUCGGCUAGGAUGCUGGCGUAAUGGUUGUAAGCGACCCGUCUUGAAACACGGACCAAGGAGUCUAACAUCUAUGCGAGUGUUUGGGUGCGAAACCCAUGCGCGAAAUGAAAGUGAACGUAGGUGAGAACCCUUCGAGGGGGCAUCAUCGACCGAUC